rnacentral:lncRNA from 1 species
ACGGAUCAAGUCCUAAUAAUACAUAAAAUUUUGUAAUUAUUUAUCUUGUAUUUUUAAUCAUGUUUUUACGUAUAACUUCUUUAAUUCAUUCUCAAUUCGACUGGAUUAUUUUUUAUGUGUACCUAUGUAUCGCUAUUUCUUUGCAGACUGUGAACGAUAUUGAUGAUUUAUAUUCCAGAAUAUCCGUAAUUCAAAUUAGAAGCAUUCUUCUCUAAUGCUCUCUUUUUAAGUUUCCACUGUCUCUCUCGCUUAAACCGUCGCAGAAAUUAAAUUUGAUACUUCUGAUUGGCGUUUGCCUACGUCAUCAGUGCUUCAUGCGCAUGAAACGCCUUCAUAGUUGUUCGUAGCGGUGGGUUGUCUUCGUUGUCUUGUUCGCAUCAUUGAAAUUCAACUUGCCGAGCUAAUUUUUUCCACGUGUAAUACUCUGAAAGACUAUUGAGAUUAAUUCAUCCUAUAUAUUAUUAUUUUUUGCAAUUAUCCACACAGUAAAUUAAAUUUUCCGCGUAAUAGAUAUUUCUGUAAAUUUUAUGCAAGUAUAAGAGAAGACACGCCUCAUCGCGAUUUUAAAAGUUUAAGAUAAACGAGUAAGGAAAUUUAAAUUUAUUUUGAUGCUACCGAAAAAGCAAGUCAUCUCCUAUGGUGUUUUAUCUGUUAUCAUCUUGGUGACUUGUAGUUAAUUAAGAGGAACGUUGGAAGAGCUCCAGAUUCUGUUAAAUUAUGAAGCAUUGGUUGUCUCAGUGGUCAAUCGCUCCAGAAAGUAGCUGUACCUAUGGCCAUAAAAAAAAGCAUGAAGACGCCAUUUUUCCAAUCGGAACGGAAUUUGUGCUGUUGCUGAAGAAGGAUUUAUGACAAUGAACUGAUUGUCCUACCAAAUUAAAAGGAAUUGGUGCUACUGAAACAACGGAUGCUUUUGAUGUCUUCACCUUGCAACAUUAUGCAGUUAAUUUUGACCCUGAGAAUGGGAGGUAAUUGGAAAUUAAUUUGGAAGCCACUGAAACAACAGAUUGUUCUCAGUGGUAUCUCUCCUAAAUUUGGUUUAUUCAUCAUAUUGGUAGACUUUAGAACGCUACUUCCUACAGUUAGUUAAGAUCCUUCAACAAAUAAGAGGGAAUUAAAGUUUAGUUUGGUCAUACUGAAACAACCAUUGUCUACAUGGGUGUGGUCUUUUGGUGAAGGAAGUAUAUUCUUGAUGAUUUGCUGUUAUCGUCUUCGCAUUGCAUCAUUAUGCAGUUAGUUUUGAAUUGAUGAGUGAGAGCAACUGGAUAUUUAUUUGAAUUCCACUGAAAUAACAAAUUUUCUG